CCAGGUUUAUGCAGCACUUAAGAAACGGAGCUGGAGUUUGAACGCAAUACUGGAACUCUGGAACCUCAGCUUGGAAUCUCUGUGCUCGGCAGGCUCUCCUGCUGUCUACUCCUUCCAUAUAAGCCUCCACAUCAGCACAAGCUGAAGCUAUUGUAUUAUAUUUGGAAGGUAAUGUGACGCAUUCCACAGUGGCUUCCUCAUCCCUCCCUCUGCAGACUGCUGGUUGUCUAAGUCCCGACUGUGCCACUCAUGUGCAAUACAUGUGAUAUAAAAUGACUUGUCUGCUCACUCCUAGAACCUAUUGAGGUUUACAGGGCCUCUGGGCCUCGUGUCCAUCAGCCAAAUAACUCACGUAAACAUCACUAUGUAUUCACAGGGUCAUGGUUUCGGGAGUGUUCUAAGUGUUUAAAGUAUUCCAAUCAGAAAGCUGGAUGUUCUGUCACUCUACCCAGGAGUGCAGUCAGAAUAAUUUCUAAUUCAAGAGGACACUGGUCCAUGGCUAUCUUUCUUUUCUUACUGUAUCUUGUAACUCUUCUCUGGUGCUUUAUCGAGAUUUACCAGAUGGCCCUGGAUUGAUUUGCCAAAGAUCCACCCAGGAAUCCUGACUCAUUACAGAAGGGUGGAGAUUUUCUGAGCUAAGCGAGAGACUUUUCCUCAGAGGUCAUUUUCUCUUCCACUUCUCCUGAGGCAACUCCUGCAGCCAGCCCCCAAGGACAGAAUCAGAUAAUAGGAAUUCAAAAACCUAACUUAACUGUGAGCCAUGUUACAAGCUUCAAGACCUUCAGCAACAGCCAGUUUUACUGAGUUACUAAUAGUCAAGGAGGUCCCAGCCUCAGCAGCCAUGGAAGAUGAGUCACCUGCUCUGAAAAUGGACUCCUCUUUCCUGGAGAUAGCAUCACUUGCACUAUUUGCAGAGUCGCAGGUCAGGCUACUCUGUGAAUCCUUAGAACAUAUAAACAUAUAUCAACACAAUUUGAGCUUCAUCUCAUUGGUUCAGAAUAUGAAUUUUCAAGGUGUUUCCAAAUUGUGUCAUCUAAGAACAAAAGCAAAA
ensembl:lincRNA